AAAAAAACAAAUCCUAUCAGAGAGAAAUGUUCAUAAAAUGUUAUCAAAAUCUCACUUUCUACCUUAUUAUUCAGGAAGUAGAAGGAGUUAUGCCAAUCAAAGAUGGCUAUAACCCAGCAACAUGGAUGCUAGAGGUAACAACCCAGGCACAAGAGGGCAUUCUAGGUGUUAACUUUGCUGAGAUCUACAAAAACUCUGACCUCUACGGAAGAAACAAAGCUCUGAUCAAUGAACUAAGCGCUCCCCCUCCUGGCUCAAAAGAUCUUUUCUUUCCAACCAAAUACUCGCAAUCAUUCUUAACUCAGUGCAAAGCUUGCCUAUGGAAGCAGCACAUGUCAUACUGGCGCAACCCCUCUUAUACAGCCACACGAAUCUUCUUCACUACCAUUAUUGCAUUAAUUUUUGGAACAAUUUUCUGGAAACUUGGUAGAAAAGUGUAAGUUGACAUACUACUUUUGCCCCUGCUUUCUUGAAUAAAUUUGAACAGAAAACAAAAUAAAAUAAAGUAAAUAAAUAAACUCUACGAUUAUAUGCUGCAGGAGUACGCAACAAGACCUGUUCAACUCUUUGGGCUCCAUGUAUGCAGCUGUUCUAUUCAUUGGAAUACAGAAUGGUCAAACAGUGCAGCCCAUUGUCGAUGUUGAAAGAACAGUAUUCUAUAGGGAGAAGGCAGCUGGAAUGUAUUCUGCACUUCCUUAUGCAUUUGCGCAGGUAUGUUCAUUGAUUUCACAUUAAAUAAAGGCAAUGCAACUUUGAUAGUUCAGAUUGCAGUAUUCAUGAACCUCUCACCUUAUCCUCUGGCAGGUCCUCAUUGAGAUCCCACACAUCUUUCUUCAGACCAUGAUUUAUGGUCUAAUUGUCUACAGCUGCAUUUCUUUCGACUGGACAUUAGUGAAGUUCUUUUGGUACACGUUCUUCAUGUUCAUGACCUUCAUGUACUUUACAUUCUAUGGCAUGAUGGCAGUGGCCAUGACACCGAACAGCGACAUUGCUGCCAUAGUCUCCACUGCAUUCUAUGCAAUAUGGAACAUCUUCGCAGGCUAUCUAAUUCCUCGGCCGGUAAGUUUACUUCAAUCUCAAAAUAAGAAAAGCCUUGUUUUUUAAUUAUGUAACAUUUGACCUUCAGCAAUAAGCACUAAAACUAUUUCUGGCAACUUACAGAGGAUUCCUGUGUGGUGGAGAUGGUAUUCAUGGGCAUGCCCGGUUGCAUGGACUUUGUAUGGAUUGGUUGCUUCACAGUUUGGUGACUAUACAACCACUAUCGAAACAGGUGAAACUGUCCAGGAGUUUUUGAGGAGAUACUUCGGGUUCAGACACGACUUCUUGGGAGCGAUAGCCGCAGCCAUAACCUGCUUUGCUGUGCUCUUCGCCUUCGUCUUUGCAUUUUCAAUCAAAGUUUUCAACUUCCAGCGAAGAUAAAAAAAAAAAAAAAAAAAAAAAAAAAAAAAAAAAAAAA